CACAGCUGAAUCGACUGCAGUCUCCUGUCCUUACAGACAUUAUCCUGUGAGAUAUAAGACUGACCAUGUAUGCAGUUGUUACUCUGCAGGACUCAGAUGAGGUGAUGGUGGCACCAUCACAUUGGUUGAGCUCAGACAAGAAACAAUGUUACUGGCCCCCAUUCAAAUCAACAGAGAAGUGCAUGGAAGCUGUUCAGAACAGAAUGAAAACUGAAACAGGAGGGAAACAAUGGGAUAAAUUAAAUAUUAGCUUUCACAGAGAAUUUGUCACUUUCGAUAAGGCAAAAGAGGAGCAAAAAAUUAUUGAAGAACAGAAAGAACGGCGAUAUCUAUUAGCUACUGGAUUCUCUCCAGUAUUAAAAAGACAAAGAAUUGAAAGCACUCAAGGAAUGACAAAACACCAACUUACUCCUGCAUCACCUGCAUCUACAUCUAGAAUGUCAGCUGAUGACAAGGAUGAGCUCCUCCAAAUGAUGAGAGACAUCAAGAGCACAGUUCAGGAAAACUCUGCUAUGUUAAAGAAACUACUCAAAGACAAUACAGUUUCUGAGGUCCCCAGCAGUACUUGCGUUCCACCUAAGGAAGUUAAAACAAGCCUAAAUCUGCCUCUUAGAACCUUUGAUGAUAUGAAAAGAACUGAAAGGGAGCUCAACACCACAACAACACGCAAACAAUAUGUAAAAUAUUUGUCAGAACUUGGAGGUUUUGGAAACAGGGAUGUGAUUAAGAAUAUUAUGCAACAUGCCCUAACAGAUGAUCUGGCUAAGGAAUUCAACUGGCAGGGAAGAGGAGAUAAAAAACCCUUCUCUCAGCUGAUUUUAGCAGACGUGAUCAGAGAGGCUGCAUUCAAACGAAAUGUAAUCAGGGUCGACUGUGAAACUGAAAUAAAAAAAUAUCUGAGUUACACAGGUGAUCGACUCAGUCGGAUGAGGCCAAGAGAACAAGCAGGGCACGAGAUCCCAAAUGUGAUUCCCACACUGAUGGACAACCAACCAGAAAUGUCUUGGGAUGUUUUUGAUGACUCAGUGUGGAGUAUUUGAUCAUGAAUCACAGGUCAUGCAGACAAAAUUACACAUUAACCAUACAUUUUAUGAAGUACUGCAUGUCAUUUUAAUUUUUUUUUAUUUAAUUUUAUUUUUUUUUUCAAAUUGUGGUAAUAUCCUUUUCCUCAACCUUUAUUUAACAGUAAAAAAAAUAAUCAAAUAUUGAAAGUUUCCCUGUGACAUUACUGCAUGAAUUGACAUGUUUUUCAGCUGCGUGACAGUAGUGGCAUUAGUUUGUUUGAGCCAAUAAACUUUAUUAAAACAAAAAAGUGUACAAAAUUUUGUAAAUAACUUUUUAGGCUAUAUCUGUCAUUUCCAGUGAUUCAUUAAAUUACAUGUGACGAUUCCAUUCUAAAUAAAUCAGAAUUACAGAUUAUAUAUCCUCUCUUUAUCAGUGC
rnacentral:lncRNA from 1 species